rnacentral:rRNA from 1 species
AGCGAACGCUGGCGGCAGGCCUAACACAUGCAAGUCGAACGAACCCUUCGGGUUUAGUGGCGGACGGGUGAGUAACACGUGGGAACGUGCCUUUAGGUUCGGAAUAACUCAGGGAAACUUUUGCUAAUACCGAAUGUGCCCUUCGGUGGAAAGAUUUAUCGCCUUUAGAGGGGCCCGCGUCCGAUUAGCUAGUUGGUGAGGUAAUGGCUCACCAAGGCUACGAUCAGUAGCUGGUCUGAGAGGAUGACCAGCCACAUUGGGACUGAGAAACGGCCCAAACUCCUACGGGAGGCAGCAGUGGGGAAUAUUGCGCAAUGGACGAAAGCCUGAUGAAGCCAUGCCGCGUGGAUGAUGAAGGUCUUAGGAUUGUAAAAUCCUUUCACCGGUGAAGAUAAUGACUGUAGCCGGAGAAGAAGCCCCGGCUAACUUCGUGCCAGCCGCCGCUGUAAAAC